AUUGAACGCUGGGGGCAGGUCUAACACAUGCAAGUCGAACGAGUGGCGGACGGGUGAGUAAUGUCUGGUAACCUGCCUGAUGGCGGGGGAUCACUACUGGAAACGGUAGGUAAUACCGCAUACCAUAAGAUGUGCCCAGAUGGGAUUAGCUUGGUGGUGGGGUAACGGUUCACCAGGGCGACUAUCCCUAGCUGGUCUGAGAGGAUGACCAGCAAAACUGGAACGGCGCAACGGUCCAGACGCCGACGUGAGGAAGCAGUGGGGAAUAUGGCAGAAUGGGCGCAAGCCUGAUGCAGCCAGGCCGCGUGUAUGAAGAAGGCCUUCGGGUUGUAAAGUACUUUCAGCGGGGAGGCGUUACCCGCAGAAGAAGCACCGGCUAACUCCGUGCCAGCAGCCGCGGUAAUUC
rnacentral:rRNA from 1 species